GGCCAGUUUCAAUUAACGCGUCGCGCGCCGUUUUUAUUCUGCUAAUUAGCACAGUGACACAGGCAUGCAAACUUCCAGGUUAAUAUUUCGCCAUAAACUGACAUUUGGAGAAGAAUUAUGAGGACAUGUUCAACAACAUCCAGGCUGAAGAAGUAGAGGACCUUUUAUUGAUUUGGAGACCAAGGCAGAGCAGGAGCGCAGCACUAAAAGAGCCUGGGGAAAGGCCUGCCUUAUUUCAUGGUGGAAGCUUACAUGAAACAGGAAGACAUGACAGUGUUACAUGAAUGAUUAUAUAAUGACAACACCAAUUAAAAGAUACAGAAAGUUAAUGUGUUUCAUGUGCUCAACUAACUACUCAAGUCAUCAUCUAUACUGUAAUGAAGUUUCAGAAUUUAGCCUUUCUAAAGAACAUUUAGGAUCUUAAGUGGAUGGACUUGUAAACCCAUUUCCAGUAAUAUUUUGAUAUUGAUAGUAUUCAUUAUAUAUAGCUGUGUAUGUGUUCUAGAAACAUAUUAUUUCUACCAGACAAUGAAAGUGAGCCAUGUCUGUGUGAAAAUCUAAGCUAACUGAAAUGUGAGAGCAACUCAAUAAUUUACUAGUUCAUGAAACAUGCCAUGAAAAGAAAACAAAUCUAGAAAGAGAGUCAGAUAUCAAAAAUAGCAAUGAAAGAAUAGAAAUAUCUAAAACUUGCAGAAUCCACUUGAUUUAGUCUGUUUGUGAGAGAAAAUGUUAAAGUGCAAUAUCAACUAAAUAUGCUGGAAUUAUCCCAAACGGCAGUUAUGAAGCCUUGCUGGGAUUCAUAUUACAGAUAAAGUUUGCUGGACAGAAAUCAUGUCUAAAUAAUGAAGAUACAGAAGUGGCUUUGAUAUAUGAGAAAAAUAUACUUGAAAAAUGGAAAAGCUUUAUUUAAGAAAUAAUAUUAUAUAUGCAAAUACCAACUUGUGAAUUUGGUUUUCAUAAAAUAAUGAGGUUUUAUUUAUAUUUAUGCAUACAAGGAAUGUAUACCACAUUAUCAGUAUUAUCACACGCUCAAUAAUUUUUAUGCCCCCGGGCAUAUAGUAAUUGAACUGUCCGUCUCUGUCUGUAUGUAUAAGGAUAACCUAAAACAGCAAGUUUUUUUUCUUGAGUUCUACCCGCACCAAUGGCUUCAUAAUUCACACAUUCACUAAUCAGUUCAAAGAAUACAAUCUCCAGGGGCAAGUUACAUAACUAUGGCUUCCAUUUUUACCAAGUUAUUGCCCUUUUGAGCACUUUGAAAAUGAAAAGAUUAACCAAAACCGUCAAAUUGGAUAUAUCUUAAGUUCUGUCUAUACUAAUUGCUUCAUAAUUUUCACAUGUACUUCUCGGUACAAAGUGCAUUGAUAUUGCUAAGUAAUAUUACUGUGCCAUCCAUUUUUCACAGUUAUUUCCCUUUUUAUCACUUUGAAAAUAGGGCAUUGUAUGGUUAACCUUUUCAGGCAAGUUGGAUAUAUCUUAAAUUUCUCCUUAAUACUUCUUUUAUUUACAUUGUGAUACAUUGAGGGACUUUGAAAUAACCUGGCACAAAUGUGUACUACAUCAAGAGGAUGUGUCGCAUUUAUGAACCACGCCCCUUUUCAAAGGUCAAGUUCACACUUUUAUUUUGAAGGUUCACACUAUUACAACUAGAGAUAGGUACACACAUUCGUGUCCGGAAUAUACUUUGUAACUUUGUCAUGCAUCGAAGGAUUUUAAAGUAACUUAGCACAAAUGUCAACCACAUCUAGAUGAUAUGUGUUGUGUGUAAGACCCAUGUUCCUACCUCCAAGGUGAAGGUCACUCUAAUAGUUUGAAGGUACUUAAGGUCAUAAGAAGAGUUUGAAGGUACGCAUUAGUUUUCAAACUGUAAAGUUGUCAUGCAUUAGAGGAUUUGCAUAAAUGUCUAUCACAUCAAGGUGAUGUGUGCAUCCAAGACCCUUGUCCCAAGGUGUUAAGUUUGCUAUAAAAAGUACUUCAUUUCACAAGAACAAUGUUAAGCAAUUAGUUAUUUUCAUGGGGGCGUCCGUGGCCGAGUGGUUAAGGUCGUUGACUUCAAACCACUUGCCCCUCACCGCUGUGGGUUCGAAUCCCGACAGGGACAUUGGAUUCUUUCAUGUGAGGAAGCUAAUCCAGCUAGCUUACGGAAGGUCGGUGGUUCAGUGCAUUAUUUCAGGCACAAACGGGCUCCUCCACCAGUAAAGCUGAAACGUAAUCAUAUUACCUAUACUGUGUCAGUGUGACGUAAAACCCAAUCAAACAAACACAGUUAUUUUCAUUCUGUUUUCUUUUCAUAAUACCUGCAUGCUUAAGAACCCUUUUUUGGGGGAUAUGUCACUUGCGUGACAGCUCUUGUUUAUACAGCAUUACAGUAUAUUUUUUCCAAUGUCUCAUAUUUAUGAGGAACAUAGUUUCAUUAUGUGGUUCUUUGAAUGGAGUUUGGGGUCACUGGGUUUAAGGUAAAGUCCUGCAUUUAUAUAUAUUUGAUAAAGUUGAUAUUUCUGAACUUCAUCACAAUUUAUAUUAAUGACUUACCAACUUAUAUUCUUCACAAGUACAAUACGCCAUGACUCCAUGUCAAGUUAUGUUACUUUACAAUUUUUUUGGCAAAUUUUCUGUGAAUAACUGAGUGAAUGGGUAAACAUUUUUUGAAAUGCUGUUAUACUGAUAAAUAACCUAGCUGGGUGAGGGCAUAAAAUUUGUGUUUUCAAACAUGUUCUUAUUUGUCAUUGUUUUUAAUCAAAUCUGAACUGUUAUUGUCAAAGGGUUGUUUGUUAAUAUAAAUGUAUGAAUGAAAUCAAAGCGGCUUAAUUAUUUACUCUUUGAGUUUCUUUUUGUUCAGACGUAUGAACAAAUUUGCUUCAAAUAACAAACAUAAUAGCUUAAGUGAUACAGUGUUCAUACAUGUGAACAAAAACCUGCCAAUUUAAAGAAAGAUAUUUUUGUUCAUACAUAUGAACAAAAUCGGCUGAUUUUUGUGCUAUUUUUUGCUCUGUGAGUUUGUUUUGUUCAGACGUAUGAACAAAUUUGUUUCUAAAUAACCACAAAAUUACUGAAAUAAUGCAGCACUUGGUCAUACGUAUGAACCAAAACCUGCCAUUUAGUGUAAAAAGUUUGGUUUUUGUGUUCAUACAUAUGAACAAAAUUGAAGUGCUAGUUUAUGUGCUAUUUUCGCUCUGUUAGUUAAAUUUGUUCAUACAUAUGAACAAAAUCGAAGCUGUUCAUUCAUAUGCUAUUUUUCACUCUGUGAGUUUAUUUUGUUCAUACGUAUGAACAAAAUCGAAGAGGCUUAUUUAUGUGCUAUUUUGACUCUGUGAAUUUGUUUUGUUCAUACGUAUGAACAAAAUUGAAGCUGUUGCUAAUUUAUGUGUUAUUUUUUACUAUGAUAAUAAACACUGCAUAAUUUUGUGGUUACUUUGAAAACAUAUUUUUGUUCAUACGUCUGAACGAAACAAUUGUUAAGACGUAUGAACAAAAACAUGUUUUCAAAUAACCACAAAAUUAUUAAAUUAUGCAGUGUUUAUUAUUAUAUAUGACUGUAUGAAAAAACCCUCACAAGUUUAAAAAGAAAUUUUGUUCAUACGUAUGAACAAAAUCGAAACUGCUAAUUUUUUGUCAUUUAUUUUUGCUCUGUGAGUUUGUUUUGUUCAGACGUAUGAACAAAAUUUGUUUCAAAAUAACCAUAAAAUUAUGAAGUUAUGCAGUGUUCAUUAUCAUAUAUAUGUAAGAAAAAACACUCGCAAGUUGAAAAAGAAAUUUUGUUCAUACGUAUGAACAAAAUCGAAGCAGCUUAUUUUUUGUUCUUUAUUUUCACUGUGCGAGUUGGUUUUGUUCAGACGUAUGAACAAAAUUUGUUUCAAAAUAACCACAAAAUUACUGAAAUAAUGCAGUGUUCAUACGUAUGAACAAAAUUGAAAUGCUAAUUACUUUAAUGUGCUAUUUUCGCUGUGUGAGUUAAUUUUGUUCAGACGUAUGAACAAAAUUUGUUUCAAAAUAAUCACAAAAUUAUGCCAGUGUUCAUACGUAUGAACAAAAACCUGCCAAUUUAAAAAGAAAAAUAGUUUUGUUCAUACGUAUGAACAAAAUCGAAGUGGCUAUUUUUUGCUCUGUGUCAGUUUUUGUUCAGACGUAUGAACAAAUUUGUUUCAAAAUAACCACAAAAUUAUGCCAGUGUUCAUACGUAUGAACAAAAACCUGCCAAUUUAAAAAGAAAAAUAGUUUUGUUCAUACGUAUGAACAAAAUCGAAGUGGGUAUUUUUGCUCUGUGUCAGUUUUUGUUCAGACGUAUGAACAAAUUUGUUUCAAAAUAACCACAAAAUUAUGCCAGUGUUCAUACGUAUGAACAAAAACCUGCCAAUUUAAAAAGAAAAAUAGUUUUGUUCAUACGUAUGAACAAAAUUGAAGUGGGUAUUUUUGCUCUGUGUCAGUUUUUGUUCAGACGUAUGAACAAAUUUGUUUCAAAAUAACCACAAAAUUAUGCCAGUGUUCAUACGUAUGAACAAAAACCUGCCAAUUUAAAAAGAAAAAUAGUUUUGUUCAUACGUAUGAACAAAAUCGAAGUGGGUAUUUUUGCUCUGUGUCAGUUUUUGUUCAGACGUAUGAACAAAUUUGUUUCAAAAUAACCACAAAAUUAUGCCAGUGUUCAUACGUAUGAACAAAAACCUGCCAAUUUAAAAAGAAAAAUAGUUUUGUUCAUACAUAUGAACAAAAUCGAAGUGGGUAUUUUUGCUCUGUGUCCGUUUUUGUUCAGACGUAUGAACAAAUUUGUUUCAAAAUAACUACAAAAUUAUGCCAGUGUUCAUACGUAUGAACAAAAACCUGCCAAUUUAAAAAGAAAAAUAGUUUUGUUCAUACGUAUGAACAAAAUCGAAGUGGGUAUUUUUGCUGUGUCAGUUUUUGUUCAGACGUAUGAACAAAUUUGUUUCAAAAUAACCACAAAAGAUUUGAUGCAGUGUUCAUACGUAUGAACAAAAACCUUACAAGUUGAAAACAAAAUUGUUCAUACGUAUGAACAACAUUGAAGUGUCUGUCUAAUUUAUGUGCUAUUUUUCAGUAUGUGAGGUAAUUUUGUUCAGACGUAUGAACAAAAUUUUGUUAAAAAAUACUCAAUAUUGCUGAACUUAUUCAGUGUUCAUACGUAUGAACAAAAUCUUGACAAGUUGAGAAAAAAAUUUGUUCAUACGUAUGAACAAGUUUGAAACUGCUAAUAUAUUUGUUAUUUUUUACACUAUUCUUAUUUUUUGUUCAGACGUAUGAACAAAAAUUGUUGAAAAAUAAAAAUAUAU